rnacentral:lncRNA from 1 species
GGCUCGAGACUCGGCUCCAGAUGAGAUCGGCUUGUGGGUGCUUGCCCAUUCCUUGCCCCCUUUCUCCGCCGCCCCUUGAGGAAAAAUCUGAGACCCAUAAAUCAGUUGGGAGAAGAGUAAGGAGCCGAGUCCGCGAUCCCUGCAAACGUUCUGAUCCCCCAUCCUCUGGAGACGUCCAGGUAGGCCAGGUGGGCGACUGACUUGUGUGUUUGCAAGGUCUUCUAUUCCGGGCAAGAUCUGGCCGCCCGGCUGCUUCCGCGGCCUUUGUUAUUAGUGCCUUAAGGUGAGACUUCGGUGUCUCCACGGGAACAUCUCUGCUGACGAAGUUCAACCUCGUGGGAGGAGCUGCUGCACCAUGUUUCAGCCUGAAAGCUCCCGGUGACUUGUCGUUGACGUCAGCGAUGUCUCCAGUCGCUGCAGGAGUCGGGAGAGUUGCUCACCCAACAAGGUUAAGGAUUCAAGAAUUGGAAAUUCGUCCAAGAAUCAAGCCAGAAUGCCAGACUUGAUCGCAGUUGAUGAGGGGUCAUACUCUUUCAAUCGGUGGCAUCUUAGGGGUAGGACAUGAACAGCAACUUCACAAGACUUUUUCUAGUUCGGCCUCCACCUAUUUCAAAUGUCCAGGUUAAAAGAUAAACUUAAAUAAUCGGCACUGGAUCAGGGCUCUCAGCAAUGGUCUUCCAAGUGAGGUUCCGACCACGACACUCUUUCCCUCUGGGGAAUGUUAAAUGUUCCUUCGCAGAGGUUGCUUUUCUCCCGGUGAUUAUUUCUAGUUAUUUUGUGUAACAGUGGAUGCAAAAAUCAUCUCUCCAGUUGGAUAAAUAGUCUGGGCUCAUGCAUAUGGAACUUUGCACCCCACACUCUAACCUUGGUCGUUAUCAAGUAAAGCCCCCCAAGGCAGGCGCUGAGAGGAUAGGAGCAUUGGGGGAGAGUUCUUACCCCAAGUCAGGAACUCUUCAAGGGGAAGGCCAUUCUCACUCACUCUUCCAAAAAUUCAGGAUUGCCUCUGUAACAGCCUGCAAAAGGUCCUUCCUUUGGCUAUUUAAUUGCUUCUUCCUAAUCAAGUAUCCAUUUUAGCUCUCCAGGUAAAAUCAGUAAAAUCAUGGUGAUUUUAAUCACAGAGUUGAAUCAUUUGUCACGCGUGGGCUGAGUGAAGCAUGAAAAAUUUUUGACUAUACUACCUUACGUAUUAGCUAAUAACUAGUAAAUUCUGCAUCGAUCUUUGGAUCAUAUAGGGUAAAAGCAUCAUUUAAAGAUAAAAUAUUCUUGCCAGAGGCCAUCCUGAAUCUGGAAUUCUAGAAAAUUUAGUGUUAAGGGAUUUAGGGGUGCUCAGGGUGCUUUAAAUUAGCAAAUGCAUGUUUCCAACAACUAUACCGCAACAGGUUAACAUUAAAGAGAAAAAGAGGAUAUAUAGUCAACAAAAUGCUACACCUCUUAGUUUUCUGUGUUAUUUGCUCUACACAUCUGAUGGGGAUGCAAGAACUUGUGCCUUUGCAUUUCAGUGGAGUGCAAUGAGCCGGAAUAUAUUUAGACAUAAAGCAUUGAAGCACAACGCGCGCUGAAGAACUCUUUUAAAGAAUCUGUGUUAAUUGACCAGCGACACCAUUGAAUUAAUGAAGUUACAUUAUGUGUGGUGGAAAAUAUUUACCUUGAGUUCACAUACGGCCCGUUAGGCUCCCAAUCCUUGUUAAUUGGAACAAAACGAGGCAGAAGCAGAAGCUGGGCAGGACCUAAGGGAAUCUAGGUCAUAAAUUCAGUUUCAUUUUGGGCUCAGUUAUCAUUGAGUUGGAAAUUUCCUAUGUGUCGACUGGUGUGCACCUGUCCACGUCCCCAUGUUUGGUCUCAGUUUAAUCUGACAACCGACUUUUGUUUGUUUGUUUAAACCUUCCAGAAAAAAUACCAGCAUCUUAUUGGCCCAUUAUUUAUUUAGUAAAUUUAGAAUACAUGAACAUCAGUGUUUUAAACUGUUUGGUGGACAUUUCACUGACUCAAAGUAGCAGUUUUCAGUUUUACUUAAAUGUGAUCACCAGAGUGAUCUGCCAAUAUUAAUUCAAUCAUGCUGUGUUUGCUUCUAUAAAGAAAGGUCAUCAGAACAUGGAUCGUAUGAUUUGUAUUCAUUUUCCCACAUAGGAAAUUUUAUAGGAAACUGGAGAAGGGUGAGCUCCAACCCAUUCUCUAGCAGGAAGGAUACAACUUAAAAUGGAGUCGCUCGGGUGAAUAAAGAAAAAUGUUAUUCCAUGCUGUGUCUGUGGAAUUGAAUUUCAAGAAUACAUGCCAGUCAACUCUGGAAUGGCUGCUGGUCGCAUAGAUGCAUUUUUAUCUGAGAAAUCUGGAACUUGGAUUAUUUUGAUAAAAGGGACGUAGGAGAGCUGCUGGGAAGACCGCAGCUUCUAAGGAGGUAGAAGCACUUUUGUAAAUGCCCAUAGUCACCCCCGGGGUUCUAAUCCUCCAAUCCUGCCUCAUGGAGUAAACGUGAAGAUUUUAAAUGGAAUCAUGUAAUUUAAAUUCCUCAUUUUUCAAUGCCUUUGUCAACUCCUCCUUGUAGUUUUUGUUUCUUGUUGUUUUUUUUAAACCAUCAACACUUGCAAACUUGUGACGUUCACUUGAAGACUUCAAGAUGCUUGAAAA